AUUGCAGCAAAGUACCACUAAUUAGAAAAAAUUUGCAUAUUCAAGCUUUGAAGUGGCCACUGCUAAUGAGGUGUCUAUCCAACUAAGAAACCUGCUAGCAGGUCACUAUCUGAGUUAGUGACCUGCUAGCAGGUUUCUAACUAGUACCCACAGGUUUCUAACUAAAACCACAGAUGCAUGAAUAUAAUUAAAAUCAGACAGAUUACAAUCAUUUUUAAGCACAAAAUUAAUUAGAAGACAAAUUGAUUGUUAUAUUAGUUCCACCAGAAAUAGAAAUAGUAGGCAGCAUGGUCUUCUGAGCAGUUUCGGUUUCUUUGCUUUUCUGAACAGGUUCAGCAGGCUCAGCAAAAGAUCGCACAUCAUCAAGGCAUUUUCGCUUUGGCACAGACUUCGUGUUAAGAACGUAGCGCUUUAUUUCUUGACAUAGCCCAGUCAAUCCAUAACUUGACAGCCCAUUGUGUACAACUCUUAGUUUUUUGCGGAAUGCUGCUUUUCUUAAUACUAUCAAUAUAUUUUUGUUUUUUUGGGGAAGCGUAACGAGAAACUGUAGCUGUAGUAGAGACAGCAGUGACAGCAGUGGUGGAAGUAGUACCAGUAGUGGAGUCAAAGCUUGCAGUUUGAGAAUUGGUUAUAGCAGCAUCAAUUAAAUAGUCGACUUGAGUGAGCAAAUCAUCACUUAUCGGAGGGAAAUCCAAUAGAUUUUCUUCAAAUUGGUUCAAAUACUCGUCAGUUUGUUGCGUUGACAGGGCCUUGUAGGGAUCGCCCAUUUGGGAGCUGGUUACUUGUAUUCCACCAACGAUACGGUCAUCUGGUUCAUCAAAAACUGACUCCCAAUUAAGUCUGAUGGGGUGCUCCGCUCUCCAACUACAAAAGGUACAUCCAGGACCAGUACAGUCGUGGUACAUUGAGCUAAAAUCUUUGGGCUCUCUAAAUUUGAAAGACAUCUCUUUUUACUAGCUUGAAACUCUCUUUUUUGAAUGAAACUAAUCUCAUUAAACCUCAAAAAUGCAUUUUCUAAGCGAGAUAGACCAUGUGUAGUACGGCUUCUUAGCUGGAUAGUAACCCUCGGGAGUGGUUAGUGGCUUCUGCAAGUCACUACACUCCCUCAGGUUUACUAUCCAGCUAAGAAACCUACUACACAUGGUCUAACUAAUACUUAAACAAUAAUUGAGCAGUUUACCACAAUUCAAGUUUUCUCAGUCUCCAUUCCUCAGCUUAUACCUACUCCCUUUGUUGAUGAUGGCCCUCCGAACUCUACUAAGAGAUGCUGAAAAACAAAACAAAAAGUAUUAAGAUGAGGAUAGUGUUUGUGUGGUCAAUUCUUCUGACGUGAAAAAUCCUCCUCCAGAAAAAGCAGUGAUCGUUAUUCAAUGGCAAAUAUGCAAUGCUGAAAUUGCACAACCAUCUGGGGGUGGGCACUGACCAUCCAGGAAAUGGAUUGGCAAACGAAAUUGCUGCCAACCCAGUUGAAGCUGAAUUCGAUGUUCGAGAGUCACCUGGACCCUUAGUAGAAACAGAUGACACACUGACUCCACGACCUUUAACUGCUAACGAACAAGCUGGUAACAACAUAUUGUUUACGUUGAGGACCACAAUGAAGUACCAUGAGCAAAGACUGCCAGUUUUGUUUGAUACUUGGCUCACUACAUCACCCGUGACUGGGACCAGAACAAGACUUUCUAGAUGGAGUGUACACACCGCCAUUUGCCACCCUGCCAAAACUACUUGAGGAUAAUUAUAGAUUCAAGAGACCUUCCUCUUCAAAAGAAAAAAGACAGGAAAAGAAAACAAAACCCCUAAAAAGACGUGUCCCAAAAAAAAAAAGUAUAAA